rnacentral:rRNA from 1 species
CGGACUGUAGUCUGNAACCCGACUACACGAAGCUGGAAUCGCUAGUAAUCGCGGAUCAGAAUGCCGCGGUGAAUACGUUCCCGGGUCUUGUACACACCGCCCGUCACACCAUGGGAGUCAGUAACGCCCGAAGUCAGUGACCUAACCGAAAGGGAGGAGCUGCCGAAGGCGGGACGGAUGACUGGGGUGAAGUCGUAACAAGGUAAC